UUGAACGCUGGCGGCAGGCCUCACACAUGCAAGUCGAACGGUAACAGGAAGAAGCUUGCUUCUUUGCUGACGAGUGGCGGACGGGUGAGUAAUGUCUGGGAAACUGCCUGAUGGAGGGGGAUAACUACUGGAAACGGUAGCUAAUACCGCAUAACGUCGCAAUACCAAAGAGGGGGACCUUCGGGCCUCUUUCCAUCGGAUUUGCCCAGAUGGGAUUAGCUAGUAGGUGGGGUAACGGCUCACCUAGGCGACGAUCCCUAGCUGGUAUGAGAGGAUGACCAGACACACUGGAACUGAGACACGGACCAGACUACUACGGGAGGCAGCAGUGGGGAAUAUUGCACAAUGGGCGCAAGCCUGAUGCAGCAAUGCCGCGUGUAUGAAGAAGGACUUCGGGUUGUAAAGUAAUUUCAGCGGGGAGGAAGGGAGUAAAGUUAAUACCUUUGCUCAUUGACGUUACCCGCAGAAGAAGCACCGGCUAACUCCGUG
rnacentral:rRNA from 1 species